GCGGAUGUAGGCAGACGGUGUUUAGUCGCUUCGAGAGGGUUCCUGAGGAGCCUGCGGCAGUGGAGAGACAGUGCCGAAAGGUGAUAGUAGUUUGCUAGUCAUGGCCCUUAAUCAGUAAAGUAAGCUUCUUUGUCCCAAGUGCUCGGCCAGCCCCUAAAUACAGUGGCCGCCAUUGUCUCUGCUCCCCGCACCUGACUGCCGCUUGCGUUUGCCUGCCUCCUUUUCUUAAGGCGAGACACCUCUGGAGACACGCAAAGCAGCCUCCGAGUCAAGCAGAACAGGGUCCACCGGAUCCACUGCCCGGCCCGUCACCAGUGGAAGCAAAGCAGAGAGAAAAUUACUUCACAUCAGUGCAGAUCUCCCCUAGCCUUUAAUACCAGCUGUGAGUACUUCUCUCAUUGGAGCUCUUCACAGUGCAAUCGGACCAAAUCCUUUGAAAACAUUCUGUUUCUCAAAUGCCCUGUGGAGCACACACUUAAUCAGUUGAUGGCCUGGAAUUUUCCAGUAUCAGCUAAGGAGAAGGCACGAACGUAUAAUAAAAAUGCAGAGACACAUAUUAGGGUCAACCUGAAGAUCACAAAAGCAAAGCAACCAAGCCACUAGAGAGCUCUUACGUCUAUGAAAUCUUCGGACUGAAAGACAGUCUUAUACAAGCUGCACAAUUGCUGUGAGUUCAUAUGUGCAAGAUCAAGCCAGACAAAAUCCAAGCAUGGAAAGGGGAAGUGGGCCUGAAGUCCCAUCACUAGCUGAAGAGUUGUUGGUAAUUGAUAACUUCUGGGAAAGGAAGAGUUUCCUAUAGUGGUGUGGUACCUGGUACAUGACCACCCUCUGUUGGAUGGCUACACACCCAAGAAUAUAUAGGCAUCAGAAACUGGACUUCACAUGUUUGUACAAAAUGGGGACAUGAAAUUUGGUGGGUAUGGAAUUGGGAGGGCGUAGAUCUGGGAGGAGUUAGGAGGGGUGAAUAUGAUUAAAAUGUAAUAUAUGAAAUUCUCAAAAAGAUAAAAUUAAAGAAAAAUAGCAUUUA